CCUACGGGAGGCAGCAGUGGGGAAUAUUGGACAAUGGGCGAAAGCCUGAUCCAGCAAUGCCGCGUGAGUGAUGAAGGCCUUAGGGUUGUAAAGCUCUUUUACCAGGGAUGAUAAUGACAGUACCUGGAGAAUAAGCUCCGGCUAACUCCGUGCCAGCAGCCGCGGUAAUACGGAGGGAGCUAGCGUUGUUCGGAAUUACUGGGCGUAAAGCGUACGUAGGCGGUUAUUCAAGUCAGAGGUGAAAGCCUGGAGCUCAACUCCAGAACUGCCUUUGAAACUAGAUAGCUAGAAUCUUGGAGAGGUGAGUGGAAUUCCGAGUGUAGAGGUGAAAUUCGUAGAUAUUCGGAAGAACACCAGUGGCGAAGGCGACUCACUGGACAAGUAUUGACGCUGAGGUACGAAAGCGUGGGGAGCAAACAGGAUUAGAUACCCUGGUAGUCCACGCCGUAAACGAUAGAUAACUAGCUGUUCGGGCUCUACGAGCUUGAGUGGCGCAGCUAACGCAUUAAGUUAUCCGCCUGGGGAGUACGGUCGCAAGAUUAAAACUCAAAGGAAUUGACGG
rnacentral:rRNA from 1 species